AAAUUAGGGAGUCUGGUCGAUCAAGAGAGGAAGGGGGCGACAGGGGUUCUCCAAAACCCUAAGUUUCACACCAAAAUCUCUUCAAUUGAAGCCCCAAAUCAGUUCCAAAUCAAGCUCUAAUCACAUAUUAGUAAACACCUCGUUGUAAGGAUCAAAAGGCAAAGAGUCCGGUUCAUCUAGCGGACAAGCCGGAGGGAGUUCACGAGGAAAAGACGCGCUCUAAAAGUUCUCAGGUACUCAAGUAAAGGAUGAAGGUCAAGCAAGCGAGCCGAACCGAACACACAAUCUUUUAGAACGCUUCCGCAAUUAUGACUUUUGUUUUAGAUACUAAGUAAACUAAUGGUAGUUACCGUCUUGUAUGGGAUUUUAUAACAACAAUACAUGUAUGUUGUAAUAUUUUGGGUUUAUACUAUGAAAGUUUUUGUAAAGUCGUCA